GGGGCUGUAGCUCAGAUGGGAGAGCGCCGCCCUUGCAAGGCGGAGGUCGUCGGUUCGAACCCGAUCAGCUCCACCA
rnacentral:tRNA from 1 species